rnacentral:rRNA from 1 species
AAAGCGAGCGGCGGAUGGGUGAGUAACACGUGGGGAACCUGCCCCUAAGUCUGGGAUACCAUUUGGAAACAGGUGCUAAUACCGGAUAAUAAAGCAGAUCGCAUGAUCAGCUUUUGAAAGGCGGCGUAAGCUGUCGCUAAGGGAUGGCCCCGCGGUGCAUUAGCUAGUUGGUAAGGUAACGGCUUACCAAGGCGACGAUGCAUAGCCGAGUUGAGAGACUGAUCGGCCACAUUGGGACUGAGACACGGCCCAAACUCCUACGGGAGGCAGCAGUAGGGAAUCUUCCACAAUGGACGCAAGUCUGAUGGAGCAACGCCGCGUGAGUGAAGAAGGUUUUCGGAUCGUAAAGCUCUGUUGUUGGUGAAGAAGGAUAGAGGUAGUAACUGGCCUUUAUUUGACGGUAAUCAACCAGAAAGUCACGGCUAACUACGUGCCAGCAGCCGCGGUAAUACGUAGGUGGCAAGCGUUGUCCGGAUUUAUUGGGCGUAAAGCGAGCGCAGGCGGAAAAAUAAGUCUAAUGUGAAAGCCCUCGGCUUAACCGAGGAACUGCAUCGGAAACUGUUUUUCUUGAGUGCAGAAGAGGAGAGUGGAACUCCAUGUGUAGCGGUGGAAUGCGUAGAUAUAUGGAAGAACACCAGUGGCGAAGGCGGCUCUCUGGUCUGCAACUGACGCUGAGGCUCGAAAGCAUGGGUAGCGAACAGGAUUAGAUACCCUGGUAGUCCAUGCCGUAAACGAUGAGUGCUAAGUGUUGGGAGGUUUCCGCCUCUCAGUGCUGCAGCUAACGCAUUAAGCACUCCGCCUGGGGGAGUACGACCGCCAAGGGUUGAAACUUCAAAGGAAUU